rnacentral:rRNA from 1 species
GACGAACCGUCCUAACGUUAUUCGGAAUCACUGGGCUUAAAGGGCGCGUAGGCGGAUGAGCAAGUCCGGAGUGAAAUCUUUCGGCUUAACCGGAAAAGUGCUUUGGAUACUGCUUGUCUUGAGGGAGGUAGGGGCAUGUGGAACUUCUGGUGGAGCGGUGAAAUGCGUUGAUAUCAGAAGGAACGCCGGUGGCGAAAGCGACGUGCUGGCCCUCUUCUGACGCUGAGGCGCGAAAGCUAGGGGAGCAAACAGG